CUGGAUUCUUCAAAUCAAGUUUCUGACUACUGACCUCAUGAGACUUUGCAGGUUGCAUUAUGCAGAUUCGGGACACACUGGCGUUAUUUGGCCAGGUUAUAGUUGUGUGUGUUUAGCAGACUGUCAGUGGAAACCAGGCAAUGAAAGGAUUAACUGUCAGACUUCUGAAAACUACAAGCAAGGCUUUCUUGCUGCAGGUCAGAGACUGGAAUAAGGUGUCAUUCAGACUGGAGCUUCUUUCAAGGUUAUUUAAAAAAUGCACAAGCUGUUGGAUUUGGGAUGAGACCAGCCUGACCAACGCAAGGUGAAAAAGAAAAAG
rnacentral:lncRNA from 1 species